rnacentral:rRNA from 1 species
UACGAAGGGGGCUAGCGUUGCUCGGAAUCACUGGGCGUAAAGGGCGCGUAGGCGGCCAGAUAAGUCCGGUGUGAAAGUCACAGGCUCAACCUGUGAAUGCCGCUGGAAACUGUCUGGCUUGAGUCCGGAAGGGGCGAGUGGAAUUCCUGGUGUAGCGGUGAAAUGCGCAGAUAUCAGGAGGAACACCAAUGGCGAAGGCAGCUCGCUGGAACGGUAGCUGA